AGACUUGGACCUCUCUCAAAAGCCCACUAAGCUACCAAUAUUAGGCUAUAAAUACUAGAGUUUCAGUGAAACAAAGAUGGAUUCUAUUCCUAUUACCCUGAGGAAAAAGAUAGUGAGAGAAGAGCUAACAGAGUUCAGAGCAGCCUCCAAACCCUGAAGGGAACUCAACUGCACAGAAUCACCUCUGCCUCACAUAAACCCUAAAGAUUGUUUUGUAAACCUCACGGGUGCAACUCAAUUUCAAUCAAGCUCUCCAAUUAGGUUUGCCCUAUAUCCAU
rnacentral:lncRNA from 1 species